rnacentral:lncRNA from 1 species
UUUUUUUUUUUUUUUUUUAAUAUUAUUUAUUUACAUGUACAAAACAGAUCAAAGUAUGGAUAUUAUCAAAGUCCAGCUUGGUGAACAAAUGGGCUUUAUUGGAGUUACUUACAGGAGCAGAAUUGACUCAGAGUCAGCUGCAUCAUCAAAGCCCACCCCAGCACAGGUGACAUUUUGCAAAAGCUGGGAACCUGGAGCACAUUGCACAGCCUGUAGAUUACUCAAUAGGUUUCAUAGUGUCCUUUCCAAGUAACUCUUGUCUAAACCUUGUCUAAGCAGCUCAGCUGGUUUCUGCGACUUUUAGGCAGCUGGUCUGGUCUCAAGAGUCUUUGCAGCUUAGCUUCUCAGAGUCUGCUUUGCACCACAGCUUCUUGUUUAAGAGUGACUUUAAAGUUUUUAUUGCUUAAUCUGGCAGGGAGGGGCCUAGUGAAUCUGGUCAGUUUCAGGGACUUCCUGAGGCUAUUUUGAGUUGUUUACUUUUCCUGUUUAAAGAGCUGCUCAGAAGGAUGGAGGAAACUUAUACUGUAUCCUAGCAUUAGAACACACUCAGGGGCUGUUACAGUUCUUUUUCAGAUCAGUAGUAUCUCUGAUACACUAUUUAUACAAAAACAUGUAGGCUUCUUAAUAUUUUGGGUAUGUUGAGGUACUGUGCUAAUCUACUUCAUGUAUAUUGCAUAUCUAUGGCAUAAACCUCACCAUUAAGUAACAAAAAUAUUUCUGUUUUAAUAAAUAACACUGAGGUGUGCAAUGGCUAGCUGUUCAAGUUACUUCUGAGAGAGAACAACAGAAGUAGAACUGGGAAUUAUAUCUAUUCUGUUCUAUUUUCACGAUUGCCUUUUUACUAUUUUUUUACUUAGAGAAUAAAUUGAAGGAAAUAUUUUUUGGAUUGUAAUGGAAGUUUUGCUGUUUUUGAGGGAUAGCUGUGUGUGGGAACAUGUUAAUUUUAAACAUACCAAUUAACUUAAUUCCAAGGCUGGAUGCUUUACAAUAUCUGUCCAUCCAUCUCUACAUCUCUACUUGUGUAUAAAUGCUCUUGUGGAAGCCAGAGAACAACUUUUGGUAGUUGGUUCUCUCCUUCCACUAUGCUGGUCUCAGUGACUGAGCUUAAGUUGUCAUGUCUGCUUGUAUGUACAUCCACUGAGCCAUCUUAUUGGCUCCUAACACUGGUUUCAAAAAAGUUAAAAGGUGCUUAAUUCAUUACCUAAGAAAAUUAUGGUAAAAUGGUAAUGUUAAAAAAAUUUGAGAGCCGGGCAGUGGUGGCUCCCGCCUUUAAUCCCAGCGCUUGGGAAGCAGAGGCAGGUGGAUUUUUGAGUUCGAGGCCAGCCUGGUCUACAGAGUGAGUUCCAGGACAGCCAGGGCUACACAGAGAAACCCUGUCUGUAAACAAACAAACAAACAAAACUGAGAUCUCUUUUCAAAAGUGACAGCAUAGAGUAUUUAUAAGGAGCAGUUUGUAGGCUUAUACAAAUGUUUUUUUAGGCCAAGCAGUCCCAUCUAGUAGCUUUGCCUCUUGAUUGAAUAAUAUGGUUAUAGUCACAUUUGAAAGACUAUUGUGGCUUACAAAGCUUGAGGAAAAAACUCAUUUGUACUGGCAGUCAGCCAGUAUUUUAUAGGCUACAAUUUUCCUUAGAAAAACUGGUGGUUUGUAGCCCCAUAAUUUGUGGUUGUUCUGAACUUGUAAAAAGAGUACACAUUUAAAAAUGACCUUAUUACUUUAAUAUUUUAAGUGACAUCUAACUGUCAGAUAUUUGUUACAUUAUAUUAUUUAUUUAAAUAAAAUUUCCUGGCUUGACAAUCUCCUCUAAGGCAAUAAUUUAUGUAGCAUGAUUAGGUCCUCCCAUCCCCCAUUCCCAACAAACCUAAAAAUCAAAAAUGCUUUCAGUAAAGUCACAGGCACAAUUAAAGUAAAAAAGAUGUGUCUGUGUUAAAUCCUGUGUUGGUAAAAUCCUUGUAGAAUCCCUGAGAUCUCAUUACGUACCCACUGCUUCCUGGAUGUGUUGAAUUAAGUUGUGGUAUGUGGUUUGUUUGGGUUUGUUCAGUGUUCUUCAUUUUUAAAUUUCUCUCUCUCUGUCUCUGUCUCUUUCUUUCUGGCUUUUUCCCCCGAGGCAGGUUGUUGUUGGUGUGUGUGUGUGUGUGUGUGUGUGUGUGUGCGCGCACGUGCGCGUGCGCGUGCAAUUUUGGCUGUCCUGGCUCAGUAGACCAGGCUGGCCUCAAACUCAGAGACAAUCUGUCUCUGCCUGGCAAGCUGGCAUUACACUACCACUGCCCAGCUGUUUGUGUUCUGCUGCCGUCACUGUUGCUUUCUCCCCACACAGAUGGAAAAGAACACCAUACCUGAAAUACACACUUGAUAUUCAUGAAAAAUACAAUUUUAGUGGUUGGUGAGAUGGCUCAUUGGUUAAGAGAAUACUAGCUGCUCUCUUCCAGAGGCCCUGAGUUCAACUCCCAUCAACCAUGUGGUGGUGGCUCACAACCAUCUAUUAUGGGAUCUGAUGCCCUCUUCUGGCAUGCAGGUGUGCAUGCAGAUAGAGUGCUCAUAUACAUAAAU